rnacentral:lncRNA from 1 species
AUGACGUCAUCCAGCCGUCGUCCGUCCGUCCGUCCCCCGCCCCCUCCCCCGGCAGGGCUGGAAGCUUCACAGGUAGCGGGAGAGCGCGUGCAAGGCGCUCGCCGCGCCGCCAGAGGUCACCGCCGCGGCAGGACCAGGGCACGCGACCCCCGCUCGCCCACUGUCCCCUCCCCACCCCCCCCCCCCCCCCGCGCAACCCGGUGGUCGGGACCCACCCGCAGCCCCGCGGGGCGGCGGGACCCCUCGCGCCGGGCGCCCACCCCUCCACCCCACCCCACACACCCCCCCCCCGGACCGGGACGCCGUGAAGAGCGGGUGCCGGGAUGCAGCACCCGCCUGCCUGCCUUUGCCCUGCGCCAUGGCGGGGGGACACCGGGGACACACGCACGCCCUCCCCGCCUUGGGUGGGCGCCUCUGUCGCGACACCGGGAGGCGAUGAAGGGACGCGCCGCGGCUUUCGGGCUGCUUUGCGGGCCCCCGAGGCGGGGGGCAGAGCCCGGCGGAGCCCCGCAGCCGCCGCAGCUCACACCCCACACCCCACACACCCCCCCCGCCGUGGAGCAGGACGGGAGGCAGCAGCCAGGACCCCCGGCACCGGCGCUGCUCACCGCGGGCAUCGAGCCCGUCGGGAGGCGUUUGGCCGCGCCGGCUGCCCCGGGCAGGGAGCGCCGCGGGCGAUGCUCCACGGCGCUGCGGGCAGCGCCCGGCGCGGCGUGGGGGCUAACACCCACGUUGAAGGACACCCAAGCGCGCCCCUUUCUGCCUUUUCUUCUUUUUUUCCCCCCCUCCUGUUUUUUCUUUUUUACCUUCUCCGCCCCCCGCCCCUUGCCGCACUGCAGGCGCUACUUCCAACGCCCGUGCGUCCGCUGCAAACACCGCUCCCGGCCCCGCCGGCCCAUCCCCAAGCCCCGCCGGCGGCUUGCGGGGAGGAGAGGCAGGGGCCGCCCCCCCGGCGCCGAGCCGCCCUCACCUGCCGGAGGCGAUGGCUCCCGGUGCCGGUCGCUGACUCCGCGCCCUCGCCGGUUCGCACGCACAGGGCGGGGGGGCGAAACGCGGGUCGCCGGCGCGCGGCGCCUUUAA